CCGUCGAGUAUUUGUGUUUCUCGUUGUAAAAUCGGUAUAUUGCGUUAUAUUUUAUUGAAUUGCCGUGUUUGGUCAUUCGGUAAAUAUUAAUCGCGUAUGUAAUCUUCGGAAUUCAAUAUUUUGUGUGUUUAUUACAUUUUCGCGUGGAUUUCUGAUCGGUUGUCGUCGGACGCCGGCCGGCAGACUUUGUGUGUGAUAAUAAAUCAUAUCUUGGACUUGCGCGAACCAUUUUUGACUUCUGCACAACUCGUUGGCUCAAUGUGUUACCUGUAUCUUCUCACAAUUGAUUUGCGGUGUUCGAUACACUGUACUUGCCGUACCCUUGCAAUCCGAUGAGCGCUGCAUUGGUAAGUUUAUAAUUGAGUUAUAUGCCAAAUGCAAUUCGCACAUAAGGUCGCGUUCCAUCAACGCGCCGCCAAGUUUGCGCAUCUAUUGCAAUUCACGCACAAGGUCGCGUGUGAUCGACGCGCCGGCUUUGCACACCUCUUGCUUUCUUAUCAUAAACUGCCUCGUCGUUGCUUAUGCAGCUUGCGGCCAGUUUUAUGCCGGUCGCUGGUUGAGCCAGACGUAUUUUGCGCGACUCGUAUCGUUUAUCCGGACUUCUACUUUCCAAUUCGUAUUAUAUUCGAUCAUCAAUUGACUAUUUAAUUUUAACUUGACUUUAGUAACUUUAGUACUGUUAUUUAUUAUUUGCGCGUAAGUGUAUCGCGGCUAUCUUGUUUACCUGUUGUGAAGUGCCGUCGGCCAUCUUCCAAUUGUAAUUGAAGAAAUACCAGUGAGGGCCAGUGACGUUCCAUGAGUUACAAUACACAGGGUGAGAGUUCAUGUGUGAGAUUAUAAUUAAAUUCUUCAUUUCAUGGGCAUAGUUCAGUUUCGCGUCAUUGUAUUUGUCAUUCCGGUUUGAAUUUAUAUAAAUUUAAUGCAUUGCCCGCCUGGAAAAUGCUUAUUUUUACAGAUGUUUAAUGUUUACACUGGAAUGCCCCUGAUAUGCGAAUUUAUUGACAUUUCUUUUCGGUUUGCUCCUCCGACUGAUCUGAGAUGCUAGGCCGGUUGGUGCAUGAAAAUAAAACAGAUAAAAAUAUAUUUAUUCCGUACCCUACAACUUGCCCACGAGAAUUGUUUGACUUCUACUUAUUUAUCGGUGUUAGUAUUUCUAUUCUUUAGAUUAAAUAUUUCAUUGAAUUAAUUUGAUUUGUUCUUACCGCAGUUUUACUUGAUCGGGAAUUUCCCUUCAGUACAGUUCAACCAUUUUCCAAAUUUCGAGUUUUGUAAUGUCGAUUCAUGCGAACAAUUCUUGUUUUAAUGCAAAUCCAUUCUCUGAUAUGUUUGCUACUUGACAUCAAUACUUGUUCUACGAUUCUCAAUCUCAUGAUUUGCACUCCUGGUAAGUCUCAUCAUAUUUUUGUAUACUUAGUAUAUGUACAGUAUGUAUGUAUGUUUGAUACUUCUGAUUGUCAGUAUUUGGUAUAAUUUUGUAUAUUUCCGUUAUUCUAUGCGAACUCUGCGACCUAGUAACUUCAGCGGGGCGUCAAAAAAGCAGCAUUAAAAUCUCCGCCGGGUGGUAUUUGUUAGCGGUAGAAGUGACUCGAUUCAGGGCACCCUACGAGGCUCGCGGUAAAAGUGACUCGUGUUCAGGGCACCGUAGGAACCCGCAAAAAUUUGAAUGAAAGGCUGAUUUUUGUCACUCGUUCCGCUAGGAAUUGUAGUUUUUUUGUUAUAAUGCGCGAACGCGGUGUUGCAAUAGGUUCGGAUUAAUUUUUCCAGAUGCAGAAUUUAAUUCUGCAUCUUCCAGUAUGAAAAUGUUUUGCCAGAAAAUUCCGUAACGCGAGUUAGAAUGAAAGUUGUGUUUUCGCCGUAGUACUUGUUGCGCUAGGAAUUGUAGUUUUUUUGUUAUAACACGCGAACACGGUGUCACAAUUAGUUCGGAUUAAUUUUCCCAAAUGCAGAAUUUAAUUUUGCAUCUUCCAGUAUUAAAAUGUUUUGCCAGAAAAUUCCGUAACGCGAGUUAGAAUGAAAGUUGUGUUUUCGCCGUAGUACUCGUUGCGCUAGGAAUUGUAGUUUUUUUGUUAUAACACGCGAACGCGGUGUCGUAAUUAGUUCGAAUUAAUUUUCCCAAAUGCACUUUUAAUUUUGCAUCUCCCAGUAUAAAAAUGUUUUGCCAGAAAAUUCCGCAACGCGAGUUAUAAUGAAAGUUGUGUUUGCGCCGUAGUACUCGUUGCGCUAGGAAUUGUAGUUUUUUUUAUUAUAACACGCGAACGCGGUGUCACAAUUAGUUUGGAUUGAUUUUCUUAAAUGCAGAAUUUAAUUUUGCAUCGUCCAGUAUAAAAAUGUUUGGUCAUAAAAUUCCGUAACGCGAAUUACAAUGAAAGUUGUGUUUGCGCCGUAGUACUCGUUGCGCUAGGAAUUGUAGUUUUUUUAUUCUAACACGCGAACGCGGUGUCACAAUUAGUUUGGAUUAAUUUUCUUAAAUGCAGAAUUUAAUUUUGCAUCUCCCAGUAUAAAAAUGUUUUGCCAGAAAAUUCCGUAACGCGAGUUAUAUUGAAAGUUGUGUGUGUGUGCACUAGUACUCGUUGCGCUAGGAAUUGUAGUUUUUUUGUUAUAACACGUGAACGCGGUGUCAAAAUAAGUUCGAAAUUAUUUUCCAUAAUGCGGAAUUGAAUUCUGUAUGUCCCUCUAUUGAAAUUUAUUGCAAGAAAAUUCCGUAACGCGAGUUAUAUUGAAAGUUGUGUGUGUGUGUACUAGUACUCGUUGCGCUAGGAAUUGUAGUUUUUUGAUAUAACUCGCGAACGCGGUGUCACAAUAAGUUCGGAAUAAUUUUCCUAUAUGCAGAAUUUAAUUCUGUAUCUUUCUGUAUUGAAAUUUAUUUUAAGAAAAUUUUGUAACGCGAGUUAUACAACUUUUAAUUAUUUUUAUAUCUUAUCUGAUAGAGAAUUUUUCAAAUCUAUCUCUUUUAGUUUGGAAUAUAUUCGCUAUCGAAAAUAGUUGUUAUCUUGCCCAUUUUUUUUCUUAUGAAUUAAAAUUUCCGUUCUUAGAUUUCCAAUUUAACUAGCUUAUUUUAUAGGGAAUUAUCUGUAGAUUAAGACUCUGCCAAUAUCUUCUAAACAGGUUUUAAAUAUAGACAGUAUUUAAUUCUGGAUUAUAGAAUACAUUAUUUAUACGAAUAAAAGAGUAGUAUGUUCAUAAUAUAAUUGUUUUUUAUUGCAUUAGACUGUAUCAACAACAUGAAUUGUUCAUAGUUCUCACUCUUGACUAUUAUCGGUGUUUGUGUACAAACAACUUGCUUUUUUAUCGAGUUGCAGCGCGUCCGUCGCGCUCAGCCUUGCUUGUGCUAUUUCCUCCUUAGUCGAUAGUGCGCUGCGGCGUGGUGUGCACGCGUUUACUUGCGCGGAGGUUUUCGGGUUAUCGCGUUUCUUGUGAAUUUAAAUUGGUAGUUGAAUUAUAAUUGGUCAGCAAUGAUAGGAUUUAGAAUUAACAGGCGAGUGCGGCGGGCAGUUAAUGUUUUAUCGCGCGUGGAAUCCAGAAUUGCGUGGUUUUACAAUGUACGCACGUGUUUGCUGUCGGCCGUCGGAUAUCUUCCGUCGGCUAAGAAUUCCUAGUGGAUUUGUUUUGUGUAUUUAUUUAAUUGUUAAUUUGAAGAAACAUCAUUUACAUUAUGGGUGUCUCUUGUGGAUUAUUUUACCUGCGAAGGCGUAAGAAUAUGUGUAACGUAAAUACUACAUUCUAUUAACAUUUGACGAAUGAAACAGCAAAUGUAAAUUCAUCACCAGAUAAGGAAAAGCAAUCAGUCAAAUAACUAAACACUCUGAAAAUAAGUAGAAAUAGUUGUCACAUUGUCGCAUAUAAUCCGCGUUGUAUUACAAGUAUUGGAAUAUUGUCGCGUUCCGUCAGCUGGGAUUCACUCCCGUUAGAUUCCGUUUUUUGUGCCUGAUUGGUGCUUUUGUAUUUAUUAUUAUAUAUAUUAUUUAUUAUUCUGCCUCUAAUUGGCUUUACGUGUUUGUUAAUUUGUGUGUUCAAGAAAUAUUAGGCUAGUAUUGCUUUAAAAGAUGACAAAUAAUAUUAUAAUUAUUAAUAAAUGUAUUAUUUAUCAUGUUUCUCUCCCCGCACAUAUCACUUCUAGAUAUCCAGGAGGAGACAGUUAUUAACUCUUGUAUUUUUGAUUUUUUUUGUAUCACCCUGUAUAAAAAUUUUCUUUAAUGUCCAGUGAAAAUUUUGCAAUCUUUAUUGUUUUCGGGGGUAUUUCUUUUUGAAUUGAAUUUUUUUUAUGAUAACACCUUGUAUGUAUUCCUUUAUGCUCAGUGAAAAAUGAGAAAUCUCUAUUGUUUUGGGGUGAUUUUCUUUUUUAAUUGAAGAUUUUCUUUCGAAAACACCCUGUAUUUAAUUUUCCACUGAUGUCACGCGAAAACAAUGCGCAAUUUGCUAUUUUCCAGUGUUAUCUUUUGAAAUUUCGCAGCCGUUAGCAUAGCGCGGCUAUGCAGGUCAUAAACAUGUUUUAAAAUGACGUCAUAUGUCUUGUAACUAUUGAACAUACAAGUUAUGAACUUAUAUUGUAUUUAGUUUGUUAAUAAAGAAAUGUUAAAGGCAA